CAUAGAAAGGCACCGUGGGGAGGAUUUUGAAAAUAUAUUCAGUCCAGCUCCCUGUGGUGCAGUUAAAGGAACUAAGGCUCAGAGAAAGGAUGUGGCUCCCCCAGUCACCUUGAAUUCAGAUCCAAAACUUUCCCCUCCGUCCAGUCCCCCAGGCCUUUGGGACCCCCAGCUGGACGCCGGCCCCACUGUGGUCAGUGGUCAGUGGUCAGGAUAGUGUAGGGCUUCCCUACCUGCCCCUACGAAGCAGCACUUCAUCAACACACGCGGUGCCAGGCCUGGCCAGCCGAGCAGGUCCUGAGCCCAGAAACAAAGAUGCGGGGUGGGGGGGGCUCGGCUGCCUCUCGGUGCCCUGGCUGCGCUCAGAAUCAACCCUGGAGUGUCACACUGCUCACUGUGGGAAGACGCUGGACAAGAAGAUGCUCUGCGUCUGGACAGACGGGUCAUCUCCACCCCAGCCUUCCUAGCACCCUGCGAGUGUUUCCAGGCCUCCAUUCAGGCACUGGGAUCCUCACUGAGCACUUCCUGUGUGCAGCCACUCUUCUGAGGACACGGAAACUACUCAUGGAACUUACAGUUCUAGCAGAGGAGACCGACAAGUGACUUUCAUCUCAGUAAAUAUAUUUCUGCCACCUGGCUCACAAGCUCAAGGUUCUGAGUUUGAUCCCCAGUUCCAAAAAAGAACCCAAAACAAAACUGAUUCAGUAAACAUAUAGUUUCAGGCUAUGUUAAGAGAUAUAAAAAAUAAAGCACAGAAGUCUACCUUGGCAUAGGGGAUCCAUUCUGAGACCCCAGCACUGAGAUGCUGAGAGGGAGGAGCUGAUAACCAUGGAUAUGCUGGACAGCGGCACGAUCCGGACCAGGACAGGACAGACCAUGACAGAGUGUGAUUUCAUCACGCUCCUCAGAAAGGCUCGCCAUUUAAAGCAAUGUCACCCAAUCACCACAGGACAGGUGUUGCUACGUCAGGUACUCGGGAUAAGACCAGGUUCCCUCUGUGGAUCUUUAUGUUGGUGGAUGCUGACCACAGAAUGCUUCGCAUUGAGCCUAGGUGCUGUGGUGUGGACGGCUGUGGAGCCCCGGCAGGCCCAGCGGAGGAGACACCUGGGCUGACCUGGGCAGCUGAGCAGGAGAUGACACGAGAAGAGAGCUGGGUGUCCCAGGAAGAGGAGGAGGCUUGUCCAGCACAAAGGGAGGGUGUCAUUCCAGGGACGGGAGUGAGUCUUUCAAGACCCGAGAAAGAGAAUGAGUCUUCUUUAUUUCUUCUCUCUUCGCCAAAGCUUUCUUUUGGUUCUGCUGUUUCAAGCGUGUUAUCAUGGGUCCAUGAGGUCUUUGUAGAUGGCCACUUUGACGUCCUUGCCAGAGAGUUCCAUCUGUCGCCUCGGUAUUGGCAUCUACUAAUUGUCUCUCCAAGUUUCAGUCGAGACUUCCUUGGUUCUUGAUUUACAUCUGGACAUUUGGGGUAUUACAUUAUGAGGCCCUUUUGAAAAUCUUCUGUUUCAGCAGGCACCAAAGGUGCAAGUUCUCCCCUCAGCCACUGGCAUCUGUGGGGCAUGGAGGGUAGGAGGAAGUGGGUGCCUCCUUAGUCCUGGGCCACGGCAGAAGUUCUGGCUCCUAGUCAUCUGGACAGUAGCACCCUGGUGCCACGUCAUUUCUCCAGUCUGAUCUCCCUAGCCUUCCGCCUGUCAGUCUUCUUACCUUUGAUGUCUGCAUAGUGCCCCGGGAUUUAGAUGUACUCAGAGAGAGGAAUACGGAGAAGUAUGUCUGCUCCAUCUUGUCUAGAACUGGAAGUUCAAACCAAAACUAUGAGGAAGGACAGGAAAUCUUGACCCAUGAGACUAGCAAAUCAGACAGCUAUUUCCAGAACCCACUUUCACCAUUAAAAAUGAUUGAGGACUCCAGAAAGCUUUUGAUGUUGAGGACUGUAUCUAUCAAUAAUUACUGCAUCGGACAUUAAAACAGCUGAGAGUAUAGCUCAGUGGUAGAGCAUGCGCUUAAAUUAACAUCUGUAAGGCCCUGGGUUCAACCCCAGCACCACCUCCUCCCACCAAAAAAAAAAAAAAAAAAAAGGAAAGAAAGGGAAGUGAAAAAUGAGAGAAAGAAAUUAAAAUCCAACACUUAUAAUUAUCCCAUUACAUAAUAUAUAACGUUUUAAAUGAAAAACAAUUACAUUUUGCACAAGAAAAACAAUCAGGGAGAAGGGCGACUUUGUCUUAUACUUCAGCCAGUCUCCCUAGUAUCUGGCUUUAAG
rnacentral:lncRNA from 1 species